UUUUUGGUAGCAUCAGCUACAAGCAAAGUUUUUGCAUUCAAAACCACUGGCAAGAAAGCAUAGUUCAACAGAAAAUACAACCGGGGAAAGAGAAUGAAAAUAACAAUGAAGUUCUAUUAACGUUCACACAUCCAACACUACCUAUUGAAUUUUGAUGUAGCAAAGCUAAAUACAUCAGUACUCGUUCCCUUCAUCGCCAUCCUCCUCAGUUGCCUCGGCUCCUACCUCUUCAUAGUCCUUCUCAAGCGCAGCAAGGUCCUCUCGUGCUUUAGAAAAUUCACCUUCAUCCAUUCCCUCACCCAUGUACCAGUGAAUGAAAGCUCGCUUGGCGUAUAUAAGGUCAAGCUUAUAGUCAAUGUGAGAGAAUACCUCGGCUACACUGGUUGAGUUGGAAAUCAUGUAAACAACUCUCUGAACUCGAGGGAGAUCACCUCCAGGUAAAAUAGUGGGUGGCUGGUAAUUGAUACCACACUUGAAACCGUUGGGGCACCAGUCCACAAAUUGGAUGGUACGUUUAGUCUUAAUGGUAGCAAUAGCCGCAUUAACAUCUUUGGGAAUAACAUCAUUGCGAUACAUCAAACAACAUGCCAUAUAUUUGCUAUGGUGAGGAUCACACUUGACCAUCAUGUUAUCUCGGAGAGCUGCUCAUGGAAUGUUAUCUCGACUGAGAUAACAUGGGCAUAUGACGAUAGCAUAAAGUGUAUUCUUGGGUAAGGGACCAAAUUAGUUUGGAAUUCAGUAACAUCCACAUUAAGAGCACCAUCGAACCUCAGUGAUGCGGUCAAGGAAGAGAUAACCUGCAACCAAUAAGUUCGCUACAAAGGAAAUCACAUUGAAGGUUGAUUUUAUAACUCAUCGCAGUAUAAGAGUGCAACAAUGCCCGAGAGACUAGGCGGUUAAUAUUGGUGUAGGUGGGUCUAUCAAUGUCCAGAGAGCGCCUGCAGAUGUCGUAAUAGCCUCAUUGUCGAGAAGAAUAGCAACAUCAAUGUGUUCGAGUAGGGAGUGAGGGGAGAGGACACUGUUGUAGGGCUCAACGACUGAUGUAGAGACCUGAGGGAAGGGGUCGACAGUGAAACCAAGCUUUGAUUUCUUGCCAUAGUCUACAGGCUGUAGCUCCAGGAGGAGUGAACCCAACCCAGAACUAGUGCCUCCACCCACAGCAUUGAACCCAAGGAACCCUUGUAGGCCAGUGCAGUUGUCAGCAAUCUUUUUACCGACUGCACAAAAACCACUUUUGUCAGAAUCAAUUGGUAAAACGCAACCUCCUCAAUUACAAUAAGAUACUAGAAAUAAGGCAUGAAAUUGAGUACUUGUGUAGUGGCCACGGGCAAAGUUGUUGGCAGCAUUUUCCUUGCCACUGAUGAGCUGUUCAGGGUGUAACAGAGUAACAUCAGAUGAUAUGUUUCAGUCCUCACUUCAUCAAUGACAGUAGGUUCGAGAUCCACAAAUACAGCUCGAGGGACGUGCUUUCCAGUGCCAGUUUCACUAAAGAAAGUGUUGAAGGCAUCAUCACCUCUUCCAACGUUCUUGCCACUUAGCAUUUGGUCAUCAGGCUGUACAAGAGAAUGAAAAUGUUAGGUAUCCAAAUUUUGUAUAGAUACUCAUGCAUAAAAUUUUGAUGAAUUGAAACAAUAUAAAUUAUUUGACUCAAGAAUAAGCUUCAAUUUCAAAAAAUAUAAAAGAAACAAGAAAAUGGUGGUCAAGGAAUCAGGACAAGAAAAUGAACAGAUUUGUAUUCACGUUUAAUGUAACAAGGGCACGAAUCUACAUUUUGACAAAACACUACCAUUUACACAGUUGUUAUGAAAUGAAUUUCCUUUCAUUCAUAUUCUACAACACCACUAAUGUGCCAGAAUUCUCUGUCAUGCCCGACGUAGUAUCCCAAGGACCGGAAUAUCAAGGAGAAUAAAGAAGUCAAACAAGUAACAACUCAAGCCCAGCUACCAUAGUAAACAUAACCAGAAUCUAUGCCUCCCAUGAUUUCAGAUUCAGUUUUUAUCCCAGUAAAUAUUGCCAUGAUUCUAGGUUCAGUUUUUUAUUUAUGUAAAUAUUUCAAUUUAUGGCCUUGUAAAUUUCCCAAAUUUUCUCUUCAGUUACGUCUAUUGUAUGCCUAAAAUUAGGCUUCUUUUGUUGUAUAAAAAUACUGAGAAUGAAUAGAAAUUGUGUGUUCAGAAUUUUCCAAAAACCUAUAGCAACGGUCUUCCCAUUUUAUGGUAUCAGAGCAGGUCUCUGAAAGAGAUUUAAUUCUGAAAAUGGCUAGGAUUCUUGGGUCCUCUAAUAAUCCGAUUAUCACCAUCAAUGCUUCCACUACCAUCAACGAAAAACUCACUCCAUCUACCUUUCCUCAAUGGAGAGCCCAAUUCGAAGCAUUGUUGAUUGGAUACGACCUCAUCGACUUUGUUAAUGGAAUGCGUAAAUGUCCUACCAUCAAUGCUGAAAAUUCUGCAACCUCCAAAGCAACGAAUUCCCACUGGAUUCGCCAUGAGAAACUAGUUCUUCAUGCUAUCCUUGCUUCAACUUCAACUACCAUUACCCCACUUCUUGCUGCAUACAAAACAUCUCAUGAGCCCUGGAUUGCACUUACCCGUUUACAUACGGGAAAAUCACGAACGCUUGUGAUGCAACUCAAGGAGGAUUUGACCUUGAUCACUCGUGGAAAUCACACAGUCGCUGAGUUUCUUCACGCAAUCAAAGUGAUGGCCGAUGAACUUGCAAUCAUUGAUCAUCCAGUUUCGGAUGAUGACUUAACCCUCUACAUCCUCAAUGGAUUGGGUCCUGAAUUUAGAGAAAUUGCGGCACCCAUUCGUGCUCGUGAAACUUCUCUGAAAUUUGAAGAACUACAUGAUCUCCUUGUAGGUCGUGAGAAUUACCUUCGAUGGCUGGAGAACCAAUCGGUAGCUACCUUUGUCCCAACUGCUAAUUACUCCCAUCGACAAGGAGGAGUACCUGGACAACAUAAAGGAGGAGCACCUGGAUAGCGCAAACAAAGCCCUAAGUAUUUCUCCAACAAGCCUCGCAAUAACAACGGACACAACAACAAUGGUUUCUCAAAUAUGGGCUACAGGAAAUACAAGCUCAAAUGCCAUGGUGUGAUCAAGUGGGCCAUACGGCUAGGAGUUGCCCCAAAAUGUAUUCAUAUGAUCUCCAGGCAAACUGUGCACCAGCAAAUUCCCAAGAAAAAAAAAUCAAAAGUGGUUAGUCAACUCGGCGGCAUCUCACAAUAUAACCACUGAUCUUUCAAAUCUGUCGAUUAAUUCUGAAUAUGAUGGUACUGAUGAGGUGUUAAUUGGUGAUAGAGCAGGUUUGCUUGUAUCUCAUGUUGGCUCAUUAUCUAUUGCAUCGUCUAAUCGUAUCUUUCAUUUAUGUGAUACCCAUUUGUGUUCCCACAAUUCAAAAAAACCUUAUUUCUGUUCACCACUUUACCAAGCAUAACAAUGUUUACCUUGAAUUUCAUCCUUAUUUUUUUUGGUGAAGGAUCGGAUCACGGGGGCGACACUACUCAAAGGUGAAUGUGAAGAUGGAGUAUACCCAUUCCCAGAGAAUCUAGUAGCAAACUCCAAAAAUGCCACUGCUUAUAUUCAUGAACGCACUACAACUGAUGGAUGGCACAAAAGACUUGGUCAUCCAUCGUCAAAAAUUGUUCAUCAUUUAAUUAAUACCUUUUCUUUACCCACCAAUAAGAAUGGACAUUUAUCUCUUUGUACUUUAUGUUCUCAAAAUAAAGCUCAUCAUCAACCAUUUAAUUCUCAUGGUCUCACUAGCACUACUCCCAUAGAAUUAAUUUACACAAAUGUUUGGGGUCUAUCCCAUGAAAUUGGCAUUGAUGGUUCAAAAUAUUAUGUUAUCUUUGUUGACCACUACACCAAAUACGUAUAGCUCUAUCCUAUGACUCAUAAAUCCAAUGUUCAAACCAUUUUUCCGCAAUUUCGAAAUCUUGUGGAAAAUAAGUUUAACACAAAAAUAAAGAGCCUUUAUUCUGAUAAUGGUAGAGAAUAUAUUGGUCUCAAAUCUUACCUUUCUGAUCAUGGGAUUAGUCAUUACACAAUAGCUCCCUAUACUCCUCAACAAAAUGGGAUGUCUGAAAGACGUCAUCGCCAUCUUGUUGAGACUGGUCUCACCUUACUCACAGAUGCUCACAUGACUCUCUCAUUUUGGCCGUAUGCAUUUCAAACCGCUGCAUAUUUCAUAAACCGAAUGCCUACCUCAACAUUGAACAAUAAAUCUCCGUUUGAAAAAUUGUUCGUGCAAACCCCAAAUUACAUUAAACUCAAGCAAUUUGGCUGCCUAUGUUAUCCUUUAACUAGGCCAUAUAACAAACAUAAACUUGAGCCCAAGGCCCAACCAUGCACUUUCGUAGGUUACUCUCUAUCACAAAACGCGUAUCUAUGCUUUGAGCCCAUUACCCAAAAGCUCUUUCACUCUCGGCAUGUCAUCUUUCACGAAGGAAUCUUUCCUUUUCAAAAGGCAAACCCUACAGAUCCCGUAAACUCCUCAUCUCCAUCAGCCAAAGAAAGUUCCCAAGUGACGAUCUCGUUGCCAAAAGUCUUCUUGACUCCAUCCCAAGCUCCAGAAUCCCGGGUAUUGGGUACUGAAGUCUCGCCAUCAUCUGCGAAUGGGUCAUUCCCUGAAUCCCCUCUUCCACUACCUUGAUUUCGAACCAAAUUUCUCCACCAGAAGUGCAUGAAACUAAUGUUUCUAAGAACAAUGAAGUGCACACUCACCGCAUGACUACCCAAUCCAUGAACAAUAUUUAUAAACCAAAAAAAUCUUUUGUAGUCACUAAGCAUCCUCUUCCACCAUCCUGAGAACCAACAAGUGUCACUGAAGCACUCACUGAUUCACGAUGGUGUGAUGCCAUGUCCUCUGAACUAACUGCUUUAAUGUGCCACAAUACAUGGCAACUUGUUCCAUCUCCGAAUGAUUGUAAUAUUGUUGGGUGUAAGUGGGUGUUUCGGAUUAAGAGGCAUGCUGAUGGAUCUAUUGAUCGCUUCAAGGCCCGACUUGUGGCAAAAGGUUCAAUCAGAGACCAGGGCUUGAUUACAAAGAGACAUUCAGUCCUGUUGUAAAACCAGUCACCAUACGUACUGUGUUAACCCUUGCUGUUAUGCAAGGGUGGUCUCUAAGGCAAUUAGACGUCAAUAAUGCCUUUCUUCGUGGGCAUCUCUCUGAAAAUAUAUAUAUAAAGCAACCACCAGGUUUCAAGAAUCCAAAAAAACCAAAUCAUGUUUGCUGUCUCUCAAACGCAAUAUAUGGGUUAAAACAAGCACCUCGUGCUUGGUAUUCUGCCCUCAAACAAGCAUUGUUAGAAUUUGGCUUCAUCAAUGCUAAAUCAGAUUCUUUUCUAUUUGUGUUUCAUGAUGGCUCUGUUCUUGCCUAUUGUCUAGUCUAUGUUGAUGAUUUGAUUCUCACUGGAAACAAUUCAACAUUUGUUGCAAGCAUUAUUGAUCAUCUCGGAAAAAAAUUCUCGAUCAAAGACUUGGGAUCAUUACAUUUUUUCCUUGGUGUUGAGGUCAUUCCUACAAAUGAAGGUUUGUUUCUGACACAGCAUAAAUAUAUUCAGGAUUUACUUGCUAAAACAAGCAUGGAUGGUGCUAAGGAUGUCACAACUCCUCUAUCUACCUCUGUUUCUCUAAAGCUGGCAGAUGGUUCAUCAUUAGUGGAUUCAACAUAAUAUCGAAGAGUGAUUGGAGCUUUGCAAUAUCUGUCCUUAACAAGACCUGAUAUCAGUUUCGCAGUGAAUAAACUCUCACGGUUUAUGCAUUGUCCCACACAAAUUCACUGGAAUUCCACUAAAAGACUGCUGCGUUAGUUGAAGAACACUAUUUUUUAUGGCAUUAAUAUUAGAAAAACAUCAAACCCAAUGCUAACAUGUUUUUCGGAUGCUGAUUGGGCAGGUAGUUUGGAUGAUAGAAAAUCAACUUCAGCUUAUCUCCUCUUGGUAACACACCCAUUUCAUGGAGCUCCAAAAAGCAACAUGCCAUUGCACAUUCGUCAACAGAAGCUGAGUAUAGAGCUUUAGCAGUGGCUGCAACAGAGUCCAUGUGGCUGCUAUCUCUAUUACAGGAAAUGAAGUUUACAUUACUGCAGCCACCUUUACUCUUAUGUGAUAAUUUGGGAGCAACACAGCUAAGUUUUAAUCCUGUCCAGCAUUCAAGGAUAAAGCACAUCCAAAUAGACAUUCAUGUUGUACGAGAUUUGGUUGAGAAAAAGAUUCUUAAUGUUCGGCAUGUUCAUACUAAUGACCAGCUUGCAGAUUUACUCACCAAACCACUUUCAAGACAAAAGACAGACUACUUAAGAGACAAGAUCGGUCUAUCUGAUGUUAGCCCAUUCUUGCGGGGGCGUAUCAAGGAGAAUAAAGAAGUCAAACAAGUAACAACUCAAGCCCAGCUGCCACAGUAAACAUAGCCAGAAUCUGUGCCUCCCAUGAUUUCAGAUUCAGUUUUUAUCCCAGUAAAUAUUGCCAUGAUUCUAGGUUCAAUUUUUUAUUUUUGUAAAUAUUUCAAUUUAUGGCCUUGUAAAUUUCCUAAAUUUUCUCUUCAGUUACGUCUAUUGUAUGCCUAAAAUUAGGCUUCUUUUACUGUAUAAAAAUACUGAGAAUGAAUAGAAAUUGUGUGUUCAGAAUUUUCCAAAAACCUGUAGCAGCGUUCUUCCCAUUUUACUGAAAUGACCUUCCCCUACCUUUUCACUGUUGUUGUGCUCGAAGAUAUGGACUCCUCAGGUAUGUAGUGCUCAAGGAUAAGCAGUAAUGUGGUGUCAACAUUCUGCGAUAUGUCUCCUCGGGAUAGGUUGUCCUCGGGCAUGAUAGUCUCUUAGCAGCCCCCCUAGCUGUUAUUGACCUAAUAGGACUCCAAUGCACUUGGGACUUUAACCCUACCCUAAUACUUCAACACUUGACCCCCACAAGGACUCCAUCUUAAACAGGUCACUACAAUCUAAUUGUAGUAUUAGUCUAACUCAUUUGUCCAACAGGACUCUAUUGGAUAAGAACAUUCACUCAAUCCAAAUUCUACUAGGGGUGUACUACAUACCCCAAUAAAUAAAAUAUAAAUACAAAGCAUUGGAUCAUUGCCUAGGUAUGUUUUUCAUUAUUUCUAGUUUCUAGCUUCACGCACAAAUUUCCUUUCCGACUUAAGUAUCGGAGGGGCGAUGAAAACAAACAUCGUUGCCUUUGUUUCAAGUACCGAAAAACUACGAUCGUGCUUAUUCACAAUCCUCAAACUUGAGAAAUCAGUAGGUGUAAAUUUUUGGUAGCAUCAACCACCAAAUGCAAAUAGUAGAAUCCCAAAUCAUUUGUUUAUAACAUAUAAAGACAAGAACUUUCCACUACUAUUUUAAAUGAGGAUCAUUGUGAAUGAAAUCUUUUACUUCCAGUAAUAUAGCAUAAAUCAAUAUCACAGUUGGUCAUUCCACAAGACAUUAACGAGCGAAAAAUUAGUCCAUGAGUACUUUAAAAUGAUAUUAAGAAUACGAGUUUCGACUUCAUUUGAUAUUCCAUAAUGAACACGUCAAAAUCGGUCGUGAAGGGGUCAAAAGAACUAUUUAAAAAAAAAAUGACACCAAAAAUUUUGUAGGGGUCAUUUGACCAUCAUGACCCAUGUGGGUCUGCCCCUAGUUACGAUUUCCAAUAGUCCGGUCAUGAAUUUUGUUGGCCAAGUCAUAAAUUUCGUCAAUUUUGGUGACAAAUAUAGACAAACCAGUCAUGUUGAAAUAAAAAAAUUAUUUGGGUGAUCAAAUUUUUACAGAAUGAAGUUAGGUGACCAACGUAAAGCAAACAUGUAAGUUGGGAGACCAAUGUAGAAAUUUUCUCUGUGAAUUGGGUUUGGUCCAAUUAUAAUUUGUUAACCAUGGUUAGAUAUUUUCUAUUUUUAAAAUAGAGAACUUGGGCCCGGAUGUGAGAUCUAGAUAAUUUGGUGAUCCUAACCAUAGGAUUCAAGCAUCUAUAGGCCCUGGAAGUAAUUGGAAGUUUGUGAGCACUUUACACGUACAGAAGUUUCAGCUAAAUUGCACCCAUGGUUUUCAAAAUUUGAUCUAAUUUGUACUUUGGUGCGCUUAAUAUUUAUUUUUAACACUGAACUCCUCAAUGUUCAACAUAGAUUUACACUCCGCAUUAUUGAAGUUGUAGGAGGUUUUGAAUGAUUUUUUAAAUUGAAAACAGAAGGAAACGACUCUCACUUCAUAUUUUAUGAAUUCGAGCUAGGCAUUUGAGGCAGAAACUCACCAACUUCUAAUCGUAGUCAUUAUCAUUAUCACAUGUGAUUAUGCAAUUAUACUUUCAAACGUCAAAAUUUAUAUGAAGAAAAAUUCGAUAAUAUGCAAACUUGUUUCAUCAUGGGUUUCUUAUUGGGGGUGAGGAGAUAAUAUCGUGGCUCUUUUAUUAAAAACUUUAGCUCGCAAAUCCUCAUCUAAAUAAAAAAUGAUGAAUCACAUACUUUAUUUUAAUCUAUAUUACACAUUACAUAUCGUAAAUUUAGACAAAGUAUGUUAAUUUUAAUUAUAGUUAACAUUUAUGUGAAUUUUACCCCACAUGUUAAUGUUUUCCCCCCGAUUGUUGCUUGGUGUUGCUAUCAAUGACGUUAUUGUCCUAUUGUGUAAUGGUGGAAAUGAGAUCAAAAUAACGAAUAUAAAGGUUUCAAUAUGGAUGGAAACAUUGUUCCAUUAUAAUGCACAUACAAUAAGUGUUAGUGUAACUGCACGUGCACAAUGUCAAAGACAAACUUUAAUAAUAGAUUUGAGUUCAAUGUUGAUUUCACAAGGAUUAUGUAUUUAUAUUUGAUAGUUAUUUCAAACUCUAAUGGGGAAAAUUAAAUGCAUGAAUUGUGAUUUAUUGUAUGUUUGGUCCUGCUCUAAACUUAGCUUUUUCCGAUUUUUCAGGGCAGCGUGCAAGUGCAUUCCUAUUUCAGAAAGCAUGUUUUCUAUAUAAUAUUAAGGCCCUGUUUGGGAGUGAUUUUUCACCUCCAUAAGUUAAUUUUUUAACCGUUAUUUUAUUUCAGCCGUAAUUUUUGACUUUUUUUCUCACAGAUGUUGUCCACUUUGUUUUUAACGGUCAAAAAAUCAAUUCUCAAAAUCAUUACAGAACAGGCCCUAAACAUAUAAACUAAAUUUUUUGUCCUGCUUGAAAGUUCUUUUUUGGGCUUUUCAGAGGAGAUUGCAAGAGCAUACCUAUCUAAAAAAAGCAUGUAAUGAAUACCAUUACAUGUGAUUAUUGCAGUUUGAUCCUAUUUUAAACCUACUUUUUUUUUUUUUUUUUUACUUUUUCAGAACAAUGUGUAAAUGCAUACCUAUUAAAAAAUGCAUGUUUAUUGCAUAGCAUUAAAGGCGAUUAUUUAUAGGUUUGAUCCCACUUUAAGGCCCAUCUUCUCUGAGUUUUCAGAGCAGUACGCAAAAGCAUACACAUUCAAAAAUGGAAAAGUUUUAAUUUUGAAAUAUGGAGUAUUCAUAACUCUGUCACUCUUUAAUUGAAAGGUGUAUAAAUACAUGAAUCUCACUAUCUAAUUAAAAAAGAAACAUGCGUAUGUCGAUUUAAUAAUAACAUGGAGUACUAUAAUGCAAACUUGAUUUAUACAUAUAACUCACCUCUCUACUUGUUAUCCUUCACAAAUCAAUGAUUUAGUCAUCAAGUAAUUUAAAAUAGUGAACAAUAUAAUUAAAAACAAUACUUAAAUUUCAAUUGAAGAUCAAAACUUCAUAAUCGAAAUCUACACAUUUUAUCAACUUUAAUCAAAUCUACUAAAAAUUUUAUUUUAACCCCCAUCAUAUAGAGUUUAGAUCCAAAAUUAGAUUACAAUCAUUCAUCACAAUUAAUUAUUUAAUUACACACCACAGGAGAAGGAAAGCAAAAUAAAGAUUUGAAAUGAAAAUUACGAUAAAGUAACAUUAUCACAUGUUUUUUUCCCACCUCUUCUGUUUUAACUAUCGAAAAUGAUGAAUUGACCAAUGAAAGUGGUCAAUUUCGUUUAAUUCAACAUCAACCUUGUUAAAAGAGGGGGUGGAGGUGCGGGGGCGGGGGAAGAUAAAAAAUGACAAGACAAGAAACGAAAAAUAAAUUAAAAGAGAUCUUAAAAUAAACGAAAAAAAAAAAUUAGUAUCAACAUCCGAACGCUAUAUAGGUACAAUCACUACCCUCCACGCUUUGCAAAAGUCCUUUUACCGCAUUCAUAAAUAAUUUUGUUGAUAUGGCUAAAUUAUAUCUUUUACCAAAGUAGAUGCUGAAAGGGACAAAUACCACGAAAAUAAUUUCAUCAGCCAACUCAUCAUUCUCAUUAAUUGGAAUAAUAAAGACAAACGAAGGUCAAGUUGUUAAAUGAAGGACUAAGCAUUUACUUUUUUAAAGUUUAGGGGCCUUCUGCACGUAGGGUGUAUAAUUUAGGGCCAACUAGGUUCUUGAGGUUGUGAAAUGGCCAUGUAAACUAUCCUCUUCACAAACUCACCAUUAGUUGGAAUGGCAAAAUUGGCGAGGAAAAUAAGCCGUCGUUUGGCAAUCAUUAAUUAAAAAUACCUUUUAUUAUACACUUAUUUUUAACACUUUCACACAAUAAAUAUUCUGUAUGUAAAUUCAAUUUUUUUUUUUCUAAUUUUUAAUUAUGCAUUCUCCUAAAAGUCACUAUUCAAAUCACUAUUUUUUUUUUUUUAAAUAAUAGUUGUCAAAUUGGAGCUAAUAAGAUUCCCGAUGUUAAAUUGAAGGACUAGUGUAAUAAAAAUAAAAAUUUAUUUACAGUCUGUUUGGAAGUGAUUUUUUUACCAAAAAAUUAAUUUUUUUGACCGUUAUUUCACUAUUUCAGCCAUCAUAUUUGACUUCUUCUCUCACGGGUGGACCCCACUUUUCUCGUAACGGUCAAAAAACCAAUUAUCAAAAUCACUCUCAAACAUACUCUCAUUUUAUUCACUCAUAGUUUAAAAUAAGGGACCCGCGGGUUUAUUUACCCCAUGGCCCAUGCUUUAGAGAGAUGCUACUUUGGCUUCUCCUUGACAUUAGGGGCACCAAGUAAUUAUUCUUAGAAAAAUUGUACUUGUACAUAAUUAUUGUACAUAAUUGUGUUCAUAAUGUGAUGUGACAAUCAUCCGAUUGUUGAUGUGUAAGUGCAAGAUUUGAAUUACAGGUUGGCUUCAAUGACACGUGUAAUUAUGGAUAUCAUUAUUUAGAUAAUUAUAUACAUGUAGCACUUUCCUUAUUCUUAUAUACGUAUAAAAAAUUCCAUGUAUCAGAUAAUCAUAUUUGUUUAGUCAUUCUUUAUCUUCUUCUUAACUAAUGCCUAAUUGAUUAACAAAAAGAUUCUGUAUUCGCAUUACGCAAUUAGGGUUAGGGUUGGAUUAGGGUUAGGGUUAGGGUUAGGGUUAGGGUUGAACUCGUUUGUUUCGAUGGGAAUUUCAGCCAGAUUAUUCCUGAUCCACGAACCUCAUUUUUUUCCCCAAUUUUGUGGCUUCGAGAAUUCUUUGUAACUGAGAUACAUUGCUUUGGUAGAAUGAUUUUGACUAAAAUAUAUUCUAGGAAUACUUUAGUUAUAGACUAAAGAGACCGUACUCAUCAAAUUUUUUUCUUCCCAAAAAUAAAAUAUCUAUUUUCUUGGCUGAUUUUUUGGGAUGAAUUUUUUAGAUGCGGUUAACCCCUGCUCAAAAUUUCAUCUAUGCUUUGUUAAGUAAUGGGUGCACCGAAGCAGAAGUGGGCUCCAGAGGAAGAAGCAACUCUGAAGGCUGAGUCUUUAAACACGGGCUUUGGAAAUGGCGGACGAUUUUCAAAGACCCACAAUUCAAUCGUGUUUUGUGUCUGCGAUCCAACAUUGAUCUGACGGUUAAAAGUCCUUCAUUAUACAGAUGUUAUGGGCAGCUGUUGAGCACGAUGGUUUAAUUGUGUAAUGCAUUGUGGGUUAGGAUAAGUGGAGGAACAUGACUAUUUUGGGGAAUGAAUGGGGCUCCGGGGAGAAGACUAGUUUAGCAAUUAAGAUGAUGGAUCAAGCUCCUAAGCUUGGUGAGAGCUCUAUUGGUAGAUCAACGCAACGAGGAAAUGGUUGACAGUGGGCCUCUUCUGGUAUCCAACGGUUCUUCGCUAGCUGAUGGUCUGAAAAGAUCUAUCAUGGGGUUUCACAUAUUAUGUACAAGUUCCCAUCUCUCUUAUGCUUCUCUUUGAUUUGUCCAAGGUAUCUUUACAUUUAUCACCCGAGUAAGAGAUUCAUGAUUUAGACAUAAUUCAUUUUGCUCAUGUUCAGAUGUUCCGUGUAGGUUACUAAAAUUAGUUUGUGCGCCAAGGAAUUCAAUGGCAGAUGAUUCUCUGUUUCACGAAGGAUUCUGGAUCAGGGGCUGCUUACAUGAUUACUCACUAUCUAGAGAAGACCAUGUAACUUUCCUAGUUCCUUACAAAUUCUACACAACUUUGUCAUUUACAACUGUGUAAUGUGAUAUGAUUGUACAAGUUGUUUCACAUAUCUCCUUAUGACGUGAAAUUUUAGAUCUACCCUUCUAUUUGUUAAAAUCUGGCCAAAGGCAAUGAAUUUUAUUUUAGUGGUAUCUUGUGUUCAUAUUUCAGAACCUCCUAUGAUUGGUGACAGAUGACGAUUAUCAUUUUUUUUCCUUGUUUAGGUUGGAUAUCCUAUAGUAGUCUAUAAACAAUUUGGUGUUAUUAACAAGACAACUAUAGCUGCAUGUAUAAAGGUAUUUCCUUUUCUAUUCAUCUAUACAAUCAUAUCAGAUAUUCACAAUUUUUCUAGUCUAAAAGCUGUCUAUCAUGUCAUGUUGUGCACUAUGAUUGAUACUAUCCUCACCCAUCUGCAAUACGUCGGCUAUGUACUCCAUUAUGAGAAAGGCACCUCUAAUGUUUAUGACCCUUACAUUGCUGAAAUUCUUCAUGAAUUAUAAUUUCCUCCAAACACAAUUUUCCAAUAUAGAAAUGAACAUGUUAACCAGAUUAAAUGAGAGAAAAAUCUCAUUGCACAAGAUUUGGUUUUGUUGGUAGAUGUGAUUCUGCAUAAUGAAUUAGCAAAAAAGUAUUCAUGCAAAUAACCUCGAGUUUGUUGGGAAUAAAACUCAGCUUGUUUUUGUUGUACCAAAAGAAACGAGAGUAAUAAUCAAGGUAACUUAUUCCAAAAAUUGAAGAAACUGCUGAGUCUCUUGGAAUUCUUAGACUAGUGUAAUAACUUAUAAAUAAUUGCUUAAAGACAUUCGUAAACAGCAUUUAUUCCUUUUAGACCAUAUUUGGCUAACCUUAAAGAAAAGAAGCCUUAAAUUUAGAAUACAGAUAGGAUUUUUUUGGAGAAGGAGAUCGAGACCGCUCGAAAGCUACGGCACGGACAUAAUUCCAUGAGGUUCACCAGAAUUGGGUCGAUCACGUUUAUUAGAAGUGGACAAUAGAGUGGUUGUACUAGAAAAAACGCAUUUAAGUCCGAAUACUCAUAAGUCCAAUAGCUUUGAUAGUAAUGGCUGGAUUUAGACCAUGUUUGGUUAACCUUAAAAAAAAACUUAUAAGUACUAAGAGCUUAUAAGUACAAAAAUGUGUAAAUUUCCACUUUUCCUUUUAAAGUCAACGCUUUUUUAUUACCGUGCAUAACAGGUAGUACUCUGCCAUAUAUUUACUCUUCCAAUCAAUCUGUCCGCCGCAACCCUAAAUCGUAAGCAGAUUCAGAAUAACGUCUCACCUUGCCUAUCCAUCUCCGUCUCCAUAGCCAAAGGUAUAGAUCUAUGACUGAUUGAUGCUUAUUAUUUAUUCAUUGUUUGAGAAUGAUUUAUUGAUGAUUGGAUUGAUGGUUGUCAUAAAAUCUGCUGCCAGUUGAUGGUGUCGAAUCCUAAAGUAUUGCAUACACGUCUUCUCAUAAUUGAUAUUCUAGUUCAUUAUUGGUUGUUAUUUUUUAGCCUUAUUGUUUCUAUUUUUGUAGGCUCAAUAUUGGGCAUUUCCUUACUUCAAAAGGAUAUAAUCCAAAUUGAAGCAUUUGGCUGCAAUGCGGAAACUUAUUAAGGUAAAUUUUGUGUUUCAAUCGCUACAUACCUUGUACUGCCCGUGAAAAUUUUGCUAUGUUUUGAAGCUUUUUAUAACUGAAGAUUAGAAAUUUCAUUGCUCGACAUUUAUUUAGGGAUUGCUCAUCUUUUGCAGGUCAAAAACAAAUUUAGACUAGCUAAAAAAUCUAGAAUGUCUCAGAAGAGGAUGACCCCUUUUGUCAAAAACAAAUUUAUACUAGCUAAAAAAUCUAGAAUGUCUCAGAAGAGGAUGACCUCUUCUGUCAAAAACAAAUUUAGACUAGCUAAAAAAUCUAGAAUGUCUCAGAAGAGGAUGACCCCUUCUGUUCUUCCGGAAGGAAGACAGGGGAUUUCACCCAGAAUUGAUCUGGAUGAUAUUAGUUCUCUCACAAAAUCUCAGAUUGAUUUAGAGGUAGCCAAGAUAUUGAGCAUGACUCCAGAAGAAGCUGCUGCAGCUGCAGCCAAAGCAGUUGCUGAAGCUGAAGCUGCAAUGGUGGCAGCUGAAGAGGCAAUGAAGGAAGCAGAGGAAGCUGAAGCUGAAGCAGUGGCUUUCGCAGCAGCUAUCAAGACAAUGAAAAAGUGAGAUGAUGGUAAGAUGUUUAAUAGGUUUUUUCUAUUUUCACACGGACUUCUGCUUAUUUGCUUUCAGUGAAGUUUUAAAGUAUGCAAAAAAUUUCAAGAACUUUACUUAUGCACUGGGGAUUUCUAACCCCUUGUUUUUCCAUUUGCGUUGCGAAAUCCAAUGGUUAAAAUGCAUAGUGUUUUUGAUUUAGGAGAUUUUGGUUCACAUCUUCUUCUCCUAAUUACAGUGUUAACCUUGAUAGAGAAUGAGAAGUGAAUAUAAUGAUUAGUGGUUGAUGUUCUGUUCCCAUUUCUGCUUCCUCGUUAAGUAGUUCCCAGUUCGAAAGAUGAAGUUGUUAAGGAACGAGCCUAUCUCUAUCGUAAAGAGAACUUAAAUUUUUUAACAACCAAAUCCACCUUCCAAAAGGCUUUUUUAUCUGAGUGUUGGCAAGACAACCCCUCCACAUCAUGUCCAUUGCCAUCUGCUCUUCAACACUGAUGUGAUGUGCAGUCCUACAUAUAUUUCUUUUAAAUGGAUAUUUGUAGGAAGUAUGCAUGUAUUCAUGUAUUAAUUUUGUUUCAUUUUGUGUUGUUCAUAAAUAAUGACUGUAUAUCAGGAUAUGAGCUCCUAAUUUGUUCCUCUAAUUUGUUUUUACUGUAUAUAAUGAGCGCAUCAUUCAUACCUGAUAGAAGUCUGAGCCACCAUCCAGCAUUAAUCAGUUGUACCUUCUGCCAAAUUGAAACUAGUUAGGGGUUGUAAAUAGGGUAUCAUUUUGCCUCUGUAAAACACUGUAGUGUCUUCCAGUGAUUUGUGGAGACCUUUCAUUUAUUUUGGUAUUAGCUAAAGACUAGAAGAAACAAUGCAUAUGCAUUGGUGGGUGUGGGGGGGGGGGGGGGGGGGGGGGUGGUCNNNNNNNNNNNNNNNNNNNNNNNNNNNNNNNNNNNNNNNNNNNNNNNNNNNNNNNNNNNNNNNNNNNNNNNNNNNNNNNNNNNNNNNNNNNNNNNNNNNNNNNNNNNNNNNNNNNNNNNNNNNNNNNNNNNNNNNNNNNNNNNNNNNNNNNNNNNNNNNNNNNNNNNNNNNNNNNNNNNNNNNNNNNNNNNNNNNNNNNNNNNNNNNNNNNNNNNNNNNNNNNNNNNNNNNNNNNNNNNNNGUGGGGGGGGGGGGGGGGGGGGGACUGGGAUGUGCUACAGCCCGUUCCCCAGGCCCAAUUCAUAAUUAAAAAAAAAAAAUUGUGUGAUUUUUUUAUUUUAUUUAUUAUCAUUAUAAUUAUUUGUUUUUAUAUUUUUGCAUAUUAGCCCAUCUUAAAAUUUUUCUUGGAUCCGUCCUCGUGCAUAUGUGCUACAAGAUUUUCGAUUACUGUUUCAUUGAGAUUCAAUCCAAAUCACGAUCGUAUUUUCUUGUUCCUAAAUGAGUCUCUUUCAUCCAUCUAGGUUUAUGCUCUACUUUGGCAAAAGAUCUAUCCGAUUUUGAUUUGCACAUAUAGGAGAAAUCCUUCCAGUAGCAUUUCUUUUUGUUAUGACUGUCUUUCUUUUUCUUUUUUUUUGUUUUUUUUUUUUUUUCAAUUCAUUUCAUACCUUUCACCAAAUAUUUAGUUUGAGUAUCCCUCGCUUGACAAACAGGAUCUCUUUACAAAUACCAAACACAAAUCAUUUAUGAUACUAGUAGCAAUCAUAGAUACAUGACCAAUUGGGUAAUUGGAGAAAUCCCCAGGAAAUGAUAUCAGGAUAAAGAUAAAAAUGACAACUGCUAGUUCGGUGUAAUGCGUUUAUUUGUUUCAGGAACUGAAAUGAAAUAAAAAGCUCCCCCCCAUAACAGAAUUUUUGGCUCUAGUCUUUCAAUGUGUUGCAUCACUUAUUUUCUGCAUUUGGACUGAGUAUAUAUUGCGGGGGAGUGGUUCUGUUAAUGGCUUUAAUUUGUUGUUUCGUUAUAAUGAGACCAUUAGAUUUUGAAUAAUUACAUUGUGCUAGAUGAUUUUAGCCAAUGGCUCAGCAUUUAACAUGAUGCAAGUUGUAAACUUGGGAAUACUGUGCUGCUGCAGGGAUCUGUCUCAGCAACAGGGUCAGAAGGCACCAUGGUAGAUUUGAGCUAAAUGGAUGAGGACGUGGUUUGGGCUGAGGGUGGGGGAGGUGGAGAAGAAUGGGGUGGUGGGGAGUCGAGGUGGUACUAAGGAAAGAUUUCAUUGUUAUAGUAUUAAAAACUAAUGCAUAAUUCAUUCAACUACAUCAUUUGGGUCGACUUCUUCAAGUUAUUGGGAACUAAUAAUCCAUUGAAAGUUCGUGAAUCCAGAAACCCUGUUAACAUUUGGUUUGCCUCAAGUUUUAAGUAUUAGAGCAUUGUUAUUUAUUUGAGUACUGAAAGUUUUAAAAGUUGCAUCCUAGUCUUUUUAUCCGAUACUUCUCCAAGCUAACCCCAAUCAAUAUCUUUUCCAGGCAUUUAGUAUAGAAUAAUGCUAUAUGUAGAUCAACCAUGAUAAUUUGGUUGACAUUCCUUCGUGCGGAGGAAACUUGUUCAUUGAUGUGAUGGAUGAGUUCAAGUUCAAGAUGUACAUGUUGCCAUGUGAAAGAGCAUAAAGAAAGGUGUAAGAGAGAGAGAGAGUGUGUGUGUAAAGUAUAAGGAUGUGUUAAACCCGACUUUUCUUGUACAAUCAAUUUAUUUACUUCAUUGCACUGGCUUUAAUUUACAAUAAAAUGAAACGAAAGUAUAUGGAAAAUUAUGUUGUUUUUAACUGCUUAAACGUUUAUUUUUUGUUGACGAGUUAAAUAUUAACAUUUUGCUAAUUAUGCGACACGUUGAAUUUGUGCACCAGGAGAAGAAGGUGGACGGGUUAACGAGUACCCAAGGCAGGCGGAAUAAAGUUUUUAAAGAACUUUUCAUGAUUUCUAAAGAAAAGUGUUGGAAUACUUGGAGUUUUAAGUACAGAACUUUUUUAUUCAGGGGUUACAAUAAAGGUAUUGUCUCUCUGAUAUUAGGAUUUUUUGGGGGAACCCAUUUUGUUGGCCGAGAAAGGCAUGACUUUCUUUGAACACUUCUUCAUUGUAGUUAUAACUACAGUGGCAAGUGAAUAAUUCUCAUGUUGAAGGUGAACAAAUCACCAUUGCUUCCAUGUUUUUUUAUUUUCGUUUUUGCUUAUGAAUAUGAAACUAGAUGAUAAACAUACAAGAAUUCAGGUUAGCAUGGAAAUCAUCGAAGAAACUUCUGAAAACAAAAGAUUACACAGAGAGAUCACAUGGAAACAUCUUCAUGUAGUUCAAAAUUCAGCUCGGUAGCUAUUCUUCAUCUACAUUGGAUUCAAGCUGGCUGUAAUCUCCUUUGGCCUUGAAAAGUUGGAUAUGGUGGUGCUUGCAGUAGAGUCUACCCUCACGUGCAAUGUAGUUCGAAGGACUUAUUGUACAACCUCCAUAGCGGCACUUGAAGCAGCUCCUGUGGUAUGAAACCCCAUUGACAGUAACCUAGGACAGAACAAACAAAUCAUUGUGAAUAAUGCUAUUUUGAGUGGACUAAAUUCCAAGAUUAGUUUUUUACAAGUGUCUGGGAAGGACUAAGAUGGAUAGAAAAUGAAAAAAAAGGCCUCCUUUUCGUGAAUUUUCAGAACCCUGCUAGAGAAUCGUAAUAUCCCAAUGUACCAUUUCAUUUUCCUCCCUAUCCCACGUUGCAUCUUUUACCUCCACCCUCCACCGCCAUCCUUGGACCCCCCUUCCCCAAUUCCCUUCCUCCCACCCCUCUUAGCUUUCCCCAAAUGAAAAGUUUUUAAGACGAUCUUUCUCAUGUUGACAAGAGAAUGUGCUUUUAAAAUAUUCAGAUUUUGAACCAAGCAUCUAAAUAAAGGACAGAUAACAAUCUAUGUUGCUACCCAGGACCAGCCUGUUUCUAUGUACAUCAAUGCCAUAUAAUCACGUCUAUAAGAACUGAAAUAUGAAUGUUGAUCGAUGUAUGAAAACUUCUGCUUAUAACCUUCUCAAUUAGAUAAGCUGUCAUAUUACAACCCACACGUUUGUCCCUAGUGCCUGCAAAAAGGCUUAAGACCUUGUUUGCAUUCUGUCAAAUAUAUUUCAAGUUAGUACUCAAAAGAGCAAAUAAAUAGAAUAUUCUUCAAUAGGAAAAAGGAUAAUAAAGAGUAUUGGACGGGAAAAUGAAGUUAGACCCCAAUGUGUACGAUCCAAAAUUUGAACAAUCUAAAUUUCUGCUUUAGCAAGAAGCAGAUUACCUCAUUGUCAACUAGCUUCCCGGGUUUCAAGAUUUUUGGUGUCCCUGGAAGAAAUUUUAGACGAGUGCAGAACACUGAGAUAUAGUUUGGAAGAUAUAAUUAUAGAUAUAAGGUAAAUUAGAUUUCAUAUAUGGUUCUUCUGCCUUCGAAACUCUUCUCCAGGCUGCCAGUUCUCUCGAAGAUCUGAUCAAAGUGAGGACUGCAAUACACGACCCCCUCAAAGGAGUUGAAAUUGCUGAGCUGAAAAGGAGAAAAUAAAAUGAAACAUUAAACCUGCCCUCAAAGGAUAUAUUGAAAAAUAUAUAAUAAUGCUUCCUUUGAUAAAUUACAAAUACCUUCAGGGUAUUAUUGCAAUGGUGGAUACCCAGUUGGCGGGGCUGCCAGCCGAUCUACCAAAUAUACAGUCUUGCUACAAGCAGUGCAUUUCUGUGUCGUUCCAGCAAAGGCCAUUUGUUUUACAUGAAAAGAUGCCUAGCAAGUAACAAGAGUGAGAGAGAGAACAAAAAGAAUUGUUAUACAACUCUUCUUCCGUUCACUCACCAAACUUUUUCUCAUUGAUUAUAUUUCAUUAAGGGCCUAUGGUAGGGGUGAAAAGCAGACUGAAAAGGAGCAAAUUGUGAGCUGCAAUAAAUUACGGGUGAGGGAGAUGAUAAUUAUGGCCAUUCAGCAAUUAUUUGGGCGAACUUUAAGCAAUUCCAACCCAAAGCCAGCACCUUACACCCAAUUCAUACUAUUAUUUAGUUUGAAAGGUUAAAACAUACGAGUCUUUUAUCAUGCUAAUAAUCCCAAAAUCUAUUAGAAAUCUGUAAGAAAUGAAAACUCGAAUAUGACACAAUUUCUCUAUUCAUAGAAGUAUUUUACUGAAUAUUAAUAAAUAAAACAGUCCGUUUCCAAGAGGAGAGGUCCCAGAGUUCAGUUCUUGGAAAGCCCCUCAAAACAGGUCCACUUGCCAAGAGAAAUUGAUGAACAGAUGUUCCUAACAGCUGCGGUUUGUAUAUUCCAAGUGCUUCAAUGUUUAAAAACAUUCUCGUUUCAAAUUAUCAUUAAAUUAGUGGUUUAACUAAUAAAAAAUAUGAAAUCAUUCAGAUCAAUAUCACCAUAAAUAGUCAAACUAGAAUAACAUAACAAAUCUUACAAACCCUGAUUUCAGAACAAAAUGAAUGUUAAAAAUUUAAAAUUUGACCCCCAUUUCAAGUUGAUGUAAAAUAAAAAUGGGUUCAAAACAUUAUUAGUGAAGUUUUAUAUUAGUCAUUUAACUUUAUUUUAUUUUAAAGUGGUCAGUGAAGUUUGCUUUUUGUGGUUUUUCAUGGCAUUAACAAUUAAUGUCUUGCACAUCCGACAUCAAACUAAACCCAAACUUCAGUAUCACGCUGGAAAAAAUGAGUUCAGUAAAUAGAACUGUAAUAAAUACCACAGUGCAGGUCAGACUUGUCAAACAAGUUCAUGCUGCAAGGAACAUAGUAAUAACAGGGCAUUUGGUCUAGUGGUAUGAUUCUCGCUUUGGGUGCGAGAGGUCCCGAGUUCGAUUCUCGGAAUGCCCCAUUUUAUGAAUUAUUUUGGUCAACCACAAAGCACUUUUUUAUUUCCUAGUCAAACCUGGACAGAUCUGCUAUCAAAUUAAAGAAUCAAACACUUAAAACAAAAAUAAACUAAUAUUAAUAUCACAAGUGCUAAAGCUAGAUAAUGUAAAACUUAUUAAUAUAUAGUUGAUGGGUUACUGGAAGGAUUAUGUAUUGUUGACUCAAUUGCCUCAAUAAUGUAAUAUGUUGAGGAAACAGUUACUGCCCUCUGAAAGGUCUUAAUAUUAUUGGUUCAGUUGCUGGUCUUAAUAAUUCAACCUAUGCAUGAAAAAUUUAUUGCCCUAUCACUUCCAGUGUCAUCAGAUUCAAAGUUUAAAAGGAAAUUUCUCACAAAGGUUGCCGGCAAGAUUCUACUAAAGUCUAAAUGUGACUAAGAAUAUAGAAAAAGGGACAUUACUAUGUCAAGGAAAAAUCAAGAAUCAGUUUGCUAUUAUAAACUGCAUAUUUUAGUAAAUAUAAAAACCAAAUAAUAGGGGUAUUGAAAGUCCACUAUGGGAAAUAGAAAUAUCAAGUUUUGGCAUCAAAUAAUUUAGCAAGAUACAUAAAUUCAAGUGAAUUUAACCAAUGACACUAAACUCACCUGCACAAUUCACUGUGCUCCUUUUCAUAAUUGGAUAUUUAAAAGCGACGGCCGUUGAAACAAUGUCAGCCAGGAAUUACCUGCAUUUUCAAUUUAAAAAAAAUAAUAUUAUAUAUCCAAAUCAAUUAGAUAACUAAGAGUAUGUAAAAUUUGAGCAUGUGCGUGUAUGCAUCUGUGUGGCAAGAAGGCGAAUGUAUGAAAUCCUACUGUGAGGCUUCAGCUUCUUGACGCUCCUUGCCUAGCUUCACGUGAAAACAGUUUUAACCAGCACGUGAAUAUUUUCUUUACUUCCAGAGAUCUGAAUGACAUUGGAGUAUGGGACAAGAGGAAAUAAAAUUCUGUCAGCAGUUCACAAUACAGGAACAGGAUGUAUUACAUACACAAAUUUGAAAAAAAUAAAUAAAUAAAUUCAAGACAUAUAACAAUGAUAGUGACACUGGAGACCAAAAAAAAAAAAAUUUCCUUCACUUCAAGACUUAUUUACCCAGUGCAUACGACUACUUAUGUGGAGUAAAUAUUUAGAUGAGUGCUAAAAAUCGUAAUAGGGCAUUUGGUCUAGUGGUAUGAUUCUCGCUUUGGGUGCGAGAGGUCCCGAGUUCAAUUCUCGGAAUGCCCCAUUUUAUGAAUUAUUUUAGUCAACCACAAAGAAUUUUUUUAUUUCCUAGUCAAACCUGUACAGAUCUGCUAUGAAAUAAAAGAAUCAAAGACUGAAAACAAAAAUUAACUAACAUUAACAUGACAAAGUGCUAAAACUAGAUUUAAUAAUGUAAACCUUAUUAUGACAGUUGAUGGGAUACUGGAAUAAUUAUAUAUUGUUGACUCAAUUGCCUCAAUAAUGUUACAUGAUGUGGAAAAAGUGACUGCCCACUGAAAGGUCUCAAUAUUAUUGAUUCAAUAUCUUCCCUCAAUAAUGCAACCUAUGAAAAAAAAAAUUAUUGCCCUACUGAAAGGUUUAAUUAAAUAAUGCUGAUUCUAUCACUUCUAGAGUCAAUAGAUCCAAAGUUUAAGAGGAACCUCAGAACAAAGGAUGCUGACAAGAUUGUACUAAAUAUAGACUAAGAAUAUAGAAAACGGAAUAUUAUUACAUCAAGAAGCAUCAAGAAUUAGUGUAUUACUCUAAACCGCAUAUAAAAACCAAAUAACAGAGGUAUUGAAAGUCCACGACGGUAAAUAGAAAUAUUAAGUUUUGGCAUCAAAUAACUUAGCAAGAUACAAAAAUUGAAGCAAAUUUAAUCGACACUAAACUCACCUGCACAAUUCACUGUGUGUCGAAUAAUAAGGUAUUUAAAAGCAGCCGCUAUUGACAACACAUGUCAGCCAGGAAUUACCAGCAUCAGCAAUGAGAAAAAUAGUAUGAUCUACCCAAAGCAAUCAGAAAAUUAAGAAAACAUCAAAUCAUGCAAAUAAGCCUUGAGAGCAUGUACAUGUGUACAUCUGCAUGGCAUGAAGGUGAAUGCAUGAAAUCCAAUACUGAAACUUCAGCUUCUUGUUGCUCCUUGCCCAGCUUCAUGUGAAAACAUUUUUAAGCAGCACGUGCAUAUUUUUUUCCAGAGAUCUAAACGACAUUGGAGUGGGGCCAAGAGGAAAUAAAAUUUUGUCAGCAGUUCAUUCUACCUGUACAGGAGGUAUACAGUAUGUAUACAUCCCAAAAUUUGGAAGAAUAUAGUCUAGAUAUAUAGCAAUGAUUGGCGACACUGGAGACAUAAAAUUUUCCUUCACUGUAAGCCCAGUGUUUACUAUUUAUUAUGUGGAGUAAAGAUUUAUUUGAGUGCUAAAAUCAUCAGUAAUUGGGCAUUUGGUCUAGUGGUAUGAUUCUCGCUUUGGGUGCGAGAGGUCCCGAGUUCGAUUCUCGGAAUGCCCCAGUCAAAUUAAGGUGAUUAUGAAUCCUACACUUCUUUUUAUUAUUUCUUUUAAUUAAAUUUAAUGGAAACAAGGAUGAAAUAUCAUAAAUGAAGUCAACUCUUUCAUUAUACAAAACUGGUUAACAGAUCUUCGCCAAGACACUGGAAUGGACCAAACUUGAGCUAGGUCUGUUGAUUGCUGCCGAAGCCAUACGAUAAAUAUUAAAAAGUAUGUUUACAUUUCAAGAAAAGUAUUAGCAGCACCAGCAUCACUACAAACAAUCCUGCACAAAUUUACACCACAUUGAGCAUUACACAAACGUCUUUUACCAUUCACAGUUUGUAAUUUUUCAUGAAUAAUUUUUUUUUAAAGAAUUUUUCAUGAAUAAUAUAACUCAAAUUGCAAUUUCAGAAAAGUAACUUCACAUUUUGCAUGCACGUAGGCACUUUUUAUAGUCCAAAACCAGAGAACUGCCUCGUUGACUGUUAAUUGUAGCCUCUGAGAUCAAUACUGCCUUUGAUUGCCUAUGGGGAAUAGAUCAAAGGGUUUUGUGACAUACUCUUCUCUGGAAGCAUAAUAGUCAAAAGGCAGACCAGAACAGUUUAUAUACUUGACAAGCAAGAAGCAAAUUACAAGCUUCAAGGGGCAAAAGAAUUGACUACAACAGGGCAUUUGGUCUAGUGGUAUGAUUCUCAUUUUGGGUGCGAUCCCGAGUUCGAUUCUCGGAGUGCCCCAUUCAAAUUAAGGUGAUCAUGAAUCCUGUACAAUUUUUUUCUUAAAGUCUCAAUAAAUCAACUACAAGGAAAAACAAUUAUCAUAUUUGACAAUCUCCAAGAAGAACAAAUGAGAAAUGAAGUGCAUUUUGGAGUCAGUUUAGGGAAAAUGAAAAAAGGCAAAUUUUUGUUACAUUGUUAAACAUGACAUAUCUUGUCAAGCACUUACCAGUUAUACCAUUUAACAAUCCCAGGUAAUGUAAUGAGAGGCCAUGAUGGAGAUCAAUAAAGAUAAUUGUGAAAGACUUGCCAUUGAUUAGAAUAAGAAUUAUUUUAUAGUUAUUUAGAGUGAUUUCCUUUAUUCCCUUUCCUUAAUUAUUAUUAGGUAAUGUUCCAUAUUUUCAUCGGGAUUUCUGGUAUAAGAAUGAAGGUGGUUUUUUAUUGUUAGAGGCCUUUUGAUUAUUGAAUAAAAUUACAGCACUCUCUCUCCUGGCUAUCUAUUUUUUCCCUCUCUCCCCCUUCUUUCUCCGCUUCCCUUUUUCCAUUCUUCUACAAUUCUCAUACAACUCUAAGGUUUGUUCGAUUUGGUUCAUCCUUCUUCAGGUCAGACUUGUCAAACAGGUUCAUGAUCCAAGGGACAGAGUAAUAAAAUUCAACAGGGCAUUUGAUCUAGUGGUAUGAUUCUCGUUUCGGGUGCAAGAGGUCCGAAGUUCAAUUCUCAGAAUGCCCCAUUUUACGCAAUAUUUUAGUCAGCCACAAAGCACCUUUUUACUUCCUAGUCAAGCUGGACAGAUCUGCUUGUAAAUAAAAGAAUCAAGACAAAAAAAAAUUUACAUCUGAGACUGAUAUUGCAUAUGCGAAAGCUAGAUUUACUAAUGUAAAAUUUUUAAGACCGUUGUUUCCACACUGGAAAGAUAAUAUACUGUCAAUUCAAUUGCCUCAAUAAUGUAACAUUAUGAGGAAACAGUUACUGCCCACUGAAUGGUCUAUCUAUUGACAAUUCACUUGCCUGCCUUCUAAGCAUAAAAUAUUUAUUACCCUACUGAAAGGUUUAAAUAUUGUUGAUAUUAUCAGCUCUGGAGUCAUCAAUACAAAGUUUAUGAGGAACCUCAGCACAAAACUGUUGAAAAGAUUCUAGCAAAUAACAGGUCCAUUGAUGGUCCACUGUAGAAAAAUGGAAAUAUUUUAAAACGUGCUUGGGAGUUGUUUUUAAAUGGUUUAAAUUAUAAAUAAAUAGAAAUGAGUGGUAGAUAAGUGGGUCGUACUUGUAGGUUCAACGAAAUAUGUGGAUAAAAUGUGGUUUGACCUAUUAUAAACAAUUUACAAACAACAGUCAACUUAGAAAGAUACAGAAAUUCAAGCGAAUAUAAUAGUUGACCCUAAGCUCACCUAGGCAACUCGUCGUGCACGCAGCAGCUACUGAAACAAAACAUAUCAGACAGCGAUUACCUGCGUCGUCAAUAAGAAAAAUAGUGUGAUCUCACCACAACAAUUAGAUGAUUAUGAGAAUGUCAAAUCAUGCCAAAAAAAACCUUGAGCAUGUACAUGUGCACUUCUGUGUGGCAAGAAGGUGACUUGUUAAAUACAAAAGUGAACCUUCAGCUUCUUGUCAAUCCUUGCCCAGCUGCAGGGGAAAAUCCAAAGCAAAUUCUGUCAGCAGUUCAUUCUACUGAGAUGCAUACAGUAUGGAUUCGUACCAAAAUUUGGAAAUAUAAAUUCUAGAUAUAUAAUAGUGAUAGUGACACUGGCAACAUAAGUUUUUUCUUCAUUUCCAUACUUGCUAACCCAGAGCAUUCUAUACUUACGUGGAGUAAAGAAUUAGCUGAGUGUCCAAAAAGCGAUUCUUGCUUUAGAGGCAACUCCCGAGUUCGAUUUUCCGAAUACCCAGUCAAAUUUAGGUGAUCAUCAAUCCUACCUUUAUUUUUUAUUUUUAAUUUUUUUUUUCCAACUAAAUUUUGUGUGAAAUAUCAUAAAUGAAAUCAACUCAAUCAUUAUGCUAGAAUCGUAAAACAAAUCUUCUCCAAGACACUGAGAUGGAUCAAACUCAGGCUAAAUAUUAAUAAGUACAAAUACACGUGAAGAAAAAGCAGCAGCAGCACUAGAAACAAUCCUUCAUAAAAUUACACAUUGCAUAGCUCGUUAUUUUUCCAUGACUCUGAUUGCAAUUUAAAAAUGGUAUUCACAACACAUAUGCAUGUAGCAACUUUCUAUCACAAAAAACUAAAAAACUGUCUAUUUAAUAUAGCUUCUGAGAUCAAGGCUCCCUUUCAUUUCCUACGAUCAAUAGAUAAAAUUCUUUUGUGAAAUGUGCUCCUAGAAAAAUAAUACUCAAAAAGCAGUCUAGAACAGCUAAGAUACAGACAAGCAAGAAAUGACAAGGUGUCAAGCUCCAAGGUUCAAAAUAAUUAACAGAAGGGCAUUUGGUCUAGUGGUAUGAUUCUCGCUUUGGGUGCGAGAGGUCCCGAGUUCGAUUCUCGGAAUGCCUCAAUCAAAUUAAGGUGUUUAAGAAUUCUUUUUUUUUUUUUUUCUUUCUUUCUUUCUUUCUACUAAAUUUCAGUGAAACAAGGAUGACAUACAAAGUCAGUCAUUAUGCCAGAGUGGUAAAAUAGAUCUUCUCCAAAAAAUUGAGAUUGAUUAAACUUGGGCAAGGUCAUAUCAUAUAUAUUAAAAAGUAUGAAUACAUUUCAAGAAAGCAAGGAUGAUAUACAAAGUCAACUCAGUCAUUAAGCCAGAGUGGUAAACAGAUCUUUUCCAAAAAAUUGAGAUUGAUCAAACUUGGGCAAGGUCAACAGAUUACGGCCGAGGUCAUAUCAUUCAUAUAUAUUAAAAAGUAUGAAUACAUUUCAAGAAAGCAUUAGCAGCAGCUGCAACACUAGAAAUAAUCCUUCACAAAACUACACCCAUUAAGCAUUUAUUCUAAUUUCUAUUACCUUCCACAGAUCAUUAUAUUUUCACGACUCAGACUGCAAUUUAAAACAGGUACUUCGCAACAACAUAUGCACGUAGGAACUUUUUAUCACCCAAAACUAGAGAACUAUCUUUUAAUAGUAGAUUCUGAGAUCAAAGCUCCCUUUGAUUGCCUAUGAUGAAUAGAUCAAAGAGCUUAGUGAAAUGUGCUUCUAGAAGCAUAAUAGUCGAAAGGCUGACUAGAACAGAUUUUGUUUUUAAUCUGAAACACUGCCAAAGCCAAGGAGACCCAGAGUGGUGGUGGUAGUGUUGGCAAUACCCCUACCUUAUCUAUUGACAAACAGAAAAAGCAAGAAAUUACAGGCUUCAAGGACAAAAUAAUUGACUAUAACUGGGCAUUAGUGGUAUGAUUCUUGCUUUGGUGCAAGAGAUCCAGAGUUCGAUUCUCAGAAUGCCCCAUUCAAAUUAAGGUGGUCAUUUAUCCUAAAUAUAUAUUCUUUUAUUAAUUUAUUUCAACCAUUUUUCAGCAAAACAAGUAUGAGAUAUCUGAUAGGCCACUGGUUCAAUUCACCUAUGCUAGGAAGAAAAAAGGGCAAAUCAAGCUAAAGGGGAAGAACUGGAAGCUCAUGUCACUGAUUCACGCAAGGAAAGAGGAGUUCAUGUUGCCAGAGAUUUAAUCGAGUUGAAUUUGUAAUUAUGUUGAAAUUGUUUUAACAAUUUGUGAGUUGAUUGAGGGAGGAAGUUGGGGGGAAAUUUCUUGAAUAAGUGUGGCGCAAUCUCACCAUAGAUAAAGGGAGAAGGGAAUUAUAUUAUUUCAUUCAUCCAUGCACUCUGAAAGAAAACUGGGAGUGAUCUCAGGCUUUUUCAAUGCCUGGUAUCAUAUCUCUUUUCCGUAUUACAUUGUUAAUUUCCUCUACAGUAUUAUUACUCUUAUCCAAUAUCAUAUCGUUUACAAUUCCACUAGUCACUGAAUUUCUGUUGAAGUACCUACAAUGACAAUUGCAUUCCUCAAUUCUGUAUUCCAGGUGGAAGCCUCCUAAUGUCAUAGGUGAAGUCAACUCAGUCAUUAUGCAAAAGUGGUAACAGAGGUCUUCUGUAAGACACUGAGAUGGAUCAAAAAGGGACAAGGUCAAUAUAUUUUGGCCAAGGCCCUACCAUAAAAUUCUAACACAAGUAUGCAUACAUCAAAGGGAAAGCAUUAGCAGCAGCAGCCCUAUGAACAAAGAGUUCUCCAAGACACUGAGAUGGAUCAAACAAGGACCAGAUUAACAGAUUGCGGCUGAGGCGAUAACAUAAAUAUUAACUAGUAUGAAUACAUGACAAGGGAAGCAGUAGCACCCAUACAAAACAUCCUGCAUAUUAUUACACCACAUCAAGUAUUAUCCCAAAGUCUAUUACCCUGCAUGGUGAAAUUUUUUUUCACGACUCAAAUUGCAAUUUUAAAAAGAAACUUCACAAGUCACAAACUCUAUGCACAUUUGCAUUUUUUAUUGUCCAAAACUAGAGAACUGUCUGUUAAUUAUAGCUUCUGGCAUCAAAGCUUCUUCUGAUCUAGAACAGUUUAGAAAAAGCAAGAAGCGAAUAACAAGCUCCAAGGAACACAAUUUUCUAAUACAACAACGCAUUUGGUGUAGUGGUAUGAUUCUCACUUCGGGUGCAGGAGGUCCUGAUUUCAAUUCUCGUAUGCCCCAUUUUACAAAUUAUCUGUCAGCCGUAGAACACCUUUUUAUUCCCUUGUCAACCUGGACAGGUCUCAUUGUAAAUAAAAGAAACAAGACUUAUAAACAGAGUAUCCAGCACAGGUAUCACAAAUGCUAAAGCUAGAUUUAAUUAUGCAACCUUGUUAACUAUUAAGACAUAGUUGUUCAAUUACCUCAAUUAUGUAACAUUAUGAGGAAACUGUACUGCACACAUUAAGGACUAAAUAUUGUUGAUUCAGUGACCUGACUCAAUAAUGUAACUGAAUCAGAAGAUAGUUAUUUAGCUGCCUAACUCAUUUUCAAAGCUCUGUCUAAUGCUGUUUCUGGUCGGUUGUAAAGCCAUCAGAUAUGAGAACGAGAACCUCUGCACAAGGGUAUUUUCUGGACACAAAUACAAUGUCCUUCUGGAAAGAUUCUACAAUACAUGGAUUCAGAUUAUAGAAAAUGAGAGAUUAUUACUUCAAGGUGUAGUCAGAAGCAGAAUAUUUAAAAUGUACAUUUUAGUAAUAUAUAACCACCAAAAUAACAGAGAUACUGACUGCUCACUGUGGAAAUAUUAAUUUUUGUGGAAGCAGAAUAUUUAAAAUGUAUAUUUUAAUAAUAGAUAACCACCAAAAUAACAGAGAUACUGACUGCUCACUGUGGAAAUUAAUUUUUGCACCAAAUAACUAAUCCUGAAACUGAAGCAUGAUUAGUAAAUGGUACUGGCACUGACCUGUGAAAUUUGCUGUGCUCAGUUGAAUAAUAGGAAAUUUACAAGUAGCAGAUCAAAAGAUUCAAAACAACGUAUGCCAGCCAGGGAGUACCUGCAUCUUCAAUAAGAAAAAUGACUCCACUUGUCUGGUUCGGUUACAUCAUAUCACUUUCGGAUCUCAAAGUGAACUUAAUCCUCAGUAAGUUAAUAAUUUCAAUAAUGUCAAAUCACAAAAAUAAGCCUUGAUUAUCCCUAUGGCUAUGCAAGGUCCUCAGUUUAAUUCCCAGUCAAAUUGAGGUGGUCAUGAAACCUACAAAUUAAUUUUUGUUUCUUUCAAUUAUAUUUGGGGGAGACAAAAAAUAAAAUAAAAUAAAAUAAUCAUAAAUCGACUCUAAUCAUUAGCCAGAGUGGUAAAACAUAUCUACGAGACACUGUGGCUCAAUCUCAGGUGGGCAACACAUAGUGACAGAUGCCAUGUCAUUAAUGUUAAAGUUUGGAUAUAUUGCAAGAAAAACAUUACCAGAAACACCACUAACAACAAAAAACAAUGGUAAUAAAAGUUGUAUAGGUAGAAUUAAUUAAGACUCCUAUUGUAAUCAAGUAAAUUUUGCACAGACUGCAUUAGAACUAUGAAGUUGUAGAUCCUGCAGAAAAUUAAAACCCAUUGAGCAUUACACCAAAGUGUAUUACUGUGCAUAGCUUAUUAUUUUUCCAAAAAUCAAAACAAAUAUAACAACUCAAACUUCAAUUUUUAAAUAGGGGACUUCUCAACUCAUAUGCAGGUAUCACUCUUUAUCAACCAAAACUAGAGCAUUCGCUGUAGCCUAUGUUAUCAAAGUGUCUUUAAUUGCCUAUGGGGAAUAGGUCAAAUGGUUUUGAGAAUAAGGUUCUUGAGGCAAAACCAUCAAAGGCUGGCUAGAACAGUUUAUAUAAAGAAAAGGAAAGAAGCGAUAACUGGUGGAAUUUGGUCUAGUGGUAUGACUCUAGCUCACGAUACAUUUAUAGUUUAAUUCCAGAAAUUCACCCUUGCUCGCCCCCAUCCCCAGCCUUGGUUUUGUAUCAGUUAUGCCUACAUAUGUUUUUGAACUAAUACAAAGAAAUUAAUAGAAUCGGUACAGGGAAAUAAUAUAACAAUAUAUAGUCAAAAUCAAUGAAUCUAAUAAGAGGUAUAGUAGUUGAUUAUUUAAACAAGCCAUUUGCUGAGGAUGUGGAGGUUGGCAUGCUGUGUCCAGUGGUAGAUAAAAAUUUGAAUUCAAUUCUGUAAAAUUGCAUCUUAUUGAGGUCUAAUCCGUUUAAAUCCCAUCUAUUAAGGUCCAUUGGUUAUUGGAUGAAUAAAUUUUCAUCAAAAAUCUAUUUACACCCAAUCCAUCUAAUUUGCCACUGCUAAUAACUAUACAAUCAAAUAAAAUAUCAUACUUCAAGCCAUUCCUUUAAAAAUUCAACAGAGAACCUAAAUGGUUUAACUAGUUGAAAAGAUGACAUGAAAUGGCAACUAAAAGAGAAUGAUGAAGAGAGAAAAAUUCAAAGCAAGUCGGACAUAGUUAUAACUUUGCCCCGUCUUUCAGAACAGGUGGCCUUCAGAAACUAAUAUAAUCAUUGCAAGAGCUAUCAAAGUGGGUGUUUACUUUGUUAAUUUUCAACAGAGGAAUAUUUUUGAAAAACUAUGGAUGAUUAACAUUUUAAGGGGAUGCUAGUUCUAAUGUGUCCUCAGUAUCUCUUGUUAGUUUAAAAACUCUGCAAAAUACUAUAAAGGUAGUUAUCAGCAUUUUCUUUUUCUUUUUUUUUUUUUUUUGUAAAAUUGGCAAGUAUAUGCUACAGCAGGUGUAAUCAGUAAAAUGCAAACUCAUAUAGAAAAAUAUCAUCACGACCCGACCAUUCGAUCCUGAGGAUGAAGUUUUCCCAUUUUGUGAUAGCAUCUCUAGGAUCCUCGGGCUAGAACACCGCCCUUUGGCUGGAGGUCUCCUUGAGUUUAUGCCUUGACCUUACUUCUAACAACACCUAACUCAUCAGGACUCUCCUACAAGAUAAGGCUUAUUCAAUUCUGAUAAGAUUAAGUCCUAAUAUACCUAUUUCAUCUCAUCUUGGUGGGAUUCUACCACCGGAGUUUCAUCUUUAUCCAAACAUCAAUUGUACGAUACCUAUCAAGUUACAACUCUUGAGCGUGGUAAAAUUCUUAAAGAUUCGAAUGACCUAAACCUACUAGUAGUAGGCUACCCAACACUAUAAAUACAUGAUCUCAAUUCAUCAUUAAGGCAUGUUUUUACAUAAUUUUUAGUUUGUAGCCUCACGCUCUAACUUAAGCAUCGGAGAGGCAACAAGACACACCUCAACGCCUUUGUUUCAGGUACUGGAGAUUCUAUUUGUGUGCAUCUCUCGCCGUCAAGCUCAGGGAUAUUCCAGGGUGCGAAUUUUUGGUAGCAUCACAACACAAACCAUCUGAGUGAAGUGCAAUGACCACUAAAAUCCCAUGGAUUGAAUUUGGGCAUUUGAUCUCAGAAGGCCCAAAUUUGUUUCGAAUUAGUUCAUUAACUUUUACAGUCCAGUGCUUAUUACUACUAAUACCCAGCAGAAAAAAACACUAGUUAAAAUAUGAUGAGCAUCUGGCAAACAAUUUUAAAACAGCACCCAGAAAGGGGGAAAUUAACAGUACUUAUACUAGUAGAAUUAGUCAUGCAUGUACUAAAUUAACGUGGAGCCUGCUCUACAAUUUUAAUUCAAUGAACUCACAAACGCCUGCUCAUUGCAACUCAGAUUACAGAUUUAAUUGGGAAGUACAGAUACGUGAAGCUAAAUUAGGGACAAUCAUAUCCUAUUUUCCUUAAGCAUCAAUAACCAUGUAAUAUGCUAUGUAGAUAAAGAAUAUUAUAUACUUAAGCAUCAAUCACCACAUAAUAUACGCCAAUAAAGAAAAUAAAGGGUCAAAAACCGCACAGAAUCAACCCCAAUAACAGCAGCAAAAACAUUGAAACGGCUAGAUUACUAAGAGAACUACUACAAACGCGAACGCGUCAAAAUCAGCAGUAUCACGUAGACUAAAUCGAAAUCGUGUGAAAGUUACACAGUGUAACAACUGAAAUGAACUGAUUUUGUAAGAUUGUACUGAAGUCUGGAGCUAUUUUGCAGCAAAUCGCACCUUCUUGAAGAAGCCUUUGCAAAUUUGAGUUUUCUCUAGCCGUGUUAUGGCGGUAAAAGAGGACGACAGGUAUGAAAAACAGAGGGAAUUUCGGAAUGUUUGGUACAGAGAAUGUUACGGGUCUCUGGCGAGGGGAAUGGGGAAUUACUAUUUACCGCUGUUUGAGAAUAUUAUUUGAAACUUAUUUUUCC
rnacentral:lncRNA from 1 species